rnacentral:other from 1 species
ACUGCCCUGCUUUGUGCGUGUGCUACCUGGGGUUUUGAGCCAACAUUUUUUGAAAGGGAGCCCGAUUCUUCGUAAGGGAAUGUAGACCUUACCUGUAUAAGGAAACAGGAAAUUACGGGAGGGCACCCACCUGUUUGAGAGAACAGGUUCAAAAAACUUUGGGUUGAUGCACGGCACGGUGGGGUUACC